GGGUUAGCAAGUUGGUCGUGCCAAUGGUAUGUACUGGCUCGCUGAUUCCUCCUUCUUGUAGAACCGUAAUGCCAUUAAUUUAGUGUUGCGGGGAAACAGGACUGUUACUUUGAAAAAAUUAGAGUGUUUAAAGCAGGCUAGCGCCUGAAUACAUUAGCAUGGAAUAAUGAAAUAGGACGUUCGAACCUAUUUUGUUGGUUUCUAGGAUCAACGUAAUGAUUAAUAGGGAUAGUUGGGGGCAUUAGUAUUCAAUUGUCAGAGGUGAAAUUCUUGGAUUUAUUGAAGACUAACUACUGCGAAAGCAUUUGCCAAGGAUGUUUUCAUUAAUCAAGAACGAAAGUUAGGGGAUCGAAGACGAUCAGAUACCGUCGUAGUCUUAACCAUAAACUAUGCCGACUAGGGAUCGGAUGAUGUUAAUUUUUUAAUGACUCAUUCGGCGCCUUACGGGAAACCAAAGUGUUUGGGUUCCGGGGGGAGUAUGGUCGCAAGGCUGAAACUUAAAGGAAUUGACGGAAGGGCACCACCAGGGGUGGAGCCUGCGGCUUAAUUUGACUCAACACGGGGAAACUCACCAGGUCCAGACAUAGUAAGGAUUGACAGAUUGAGAGC
rnacentral:rRNA from 1 species